rnacentral:misc_RNA from 1 species
UCAUAUAUUCAUAUAUAUCUUUCAUAUUGUUACAGUGCGUGUAUUUAUACCGCAUAUAGACUACUCUUGGUUAUGUUGUAUUGGUUACCCAUAAGUGACUGGUCGUUAGCUUUUGACAUUAAAGCACUCAAUCAGUCUAACGAUCGGUCUAGCUGUAUGCUAGCUUAGGUGUAAUGUCAGCUUGGAUGUUAGUUUGUCUGGUUGCCUUCCCUUCCAUAAUUGUAACAACUGGUUGGGUACGGUCUGGCUAUCGGAUGUAUAAACUAAUGUUUCUCUUGUUACUUGCGAAUACUGUAUUUACUACCGUGGUCUUUUUAGAUUCCACACUCUAUGCCUGCUUUGGUCUAUCCAUCGCUACGUAUAGGUAAGCGCCUUAAGGAAGAAGCUUACAAAUGUAUAACUCCAUGUGGUGGAUCACUCGGCUCACGUAUCGAUGAAGAGUGCAGCAAACUGUGUUAAACAAUGUGAAACGCAGACUGCUUCGAACAUCGGUAUCUCGAACGCAAAUGGCAGCUUAGCGCCGUGCGCUUAGCUACGUUUGAUCGAGUGUCGGCUUAAACCUAUCGUGACGCUUAAUUGUUCACGGAUUGGGAAGCUUACCAUGGCUAAAUGAUUUCCAGUCAUGCAUAUCACGGUCUGAACGGAUUGCAUGAUAGGAGUUAGCUCUAGUGGUUCUUCCUUAAUUAUUAAGUACUAUUGUGAUAUAGUGUUAACAACUCUACGCUUCUUUAUGAGUGUGGCUUAGUGUUCUAGGUAUGCUUAUAAUUACAGUAUAGAGGUUCCUACUUGCUUGGAAUGUUAACAACCAUUAACCCUGUAUAUUCGAUGUGGCUUGGUUUCGACCUUGUAACGUCAGAUACUCUGUUAUGGACUAGAUUCACGUGCU